CGCUUGAGUUUUUUCCAUCGCGGAACUGGGGGAAAAAUUUUAUAGGAUUUUCUCGGGAAAGUAAGGUGAGAAAGGAAUACCUUCGAUGGUUUCGUUCGAGAGAUUCAGUGUGUGGAACUCGACCAGCUUCCUUGGAGCCGUUUGCUUGGGAAUCCGAAGCAGAUUGAGAUCAAAUCAGAGCCCAGCAGAAGUUUCAGAAGAGCCAGGGUUUGUCUUCUUCACCCAUAAACCCUAAACCCAAAAUUUAAUCCCUUUCCUUCUCUCUGAAUUUAAUUGCGUAUAUAUUUAGACAUUUAAGUCUCUCUCUCUACUUGGGUUGUUUCCGAUCAAUUAUAAAUUGUAGCCCACAGAAUCUUUUGCCCUUCUAUUUCACGUUGCUUCGUCUUCUGCUCGGUUUGUCAACCAUUUGAACCUAAUCUGUCUUCUGUUCCAAGGUAUAGGUUGUUUGGUUUACCGUUCUUGUUUCCCUCUGUAAUUUGGAUACAAUUUCUUGUAAUAUUGACACUUGAGAUCAAUACCCAGAAGUCAAAAUUAAGGGAUCUGGUUGGGAAACUCGUCAAAGCCAAACCUGGAAUGAACCUACCAUUGAUUUGUGCAUGGGCCAUCCCUUGGUGAUGAUCUUGAUGAAGCCGUGUAGGCAAAUUGUAUUGUAAUGCCAAUCUCGGGAAGGUUUGUUUCAUAUCUCUUUCAUCCGUUUUUGACAUGCCCUUGGAUUUCACAAUUCACGCACUUUGUUUUCAUCAGAACAUCCUUCUCCCAUUAUCAGUGGGAACAUUCUCACUGUGGGAGAUCUUCAGCAAGGAGCUUUCUUGCAAGAUCGAUGUCAAUCACAGGUUUCUACCUUCUUAUUCUUCGUUUUAAGGACCCUUUGGUAGAUGAUUCUACAAUUUCACAGGGAAGAAUUUGACGCGGAAAUGGUUCCGUACGGAGUGGUCGGAGAUUUUCCACACGACCCGACAUUGCCGCUGGUAAGAAAAGAAAACUCUCAGAGGAAACCGUGACCCAGACGUGGUUCCCGCUUUUGCAGUUGAGACCCAAAAGAAAACAUAUAAAAGAAAGGCUUUGUUUUGGUGAAGGCAACAAGUAAGGAACCAUUAUGCACCAAUGCAAGGGGAGGCACAGUGGGUGGUACUGGAGACUCUUCUGCAAUGUGGAAGUGGUUGGCUUUGUUUCUUGAGAUCUUCCAGGCAUUUCACAUCUGAAAUGCAAGCGAAUGAUCUUGCUUUUCCUGAGUAGUACCUUGACAAUCCUCUCCUGUCACUCAUCCGGCCAAACCAAAUGUAAGUAUAUCAGACAACAACUCGACUCAUUACAAUAUAUAUAAUAUACACACAUAUAUAUGCAAGGGUUUCAAGUUUGUUUACUUCUUGGGGAGGUUGUUCCUUAGCUCCCCCAUGUCAAAUGCCAUCAACCCAUUUCUGUUCUCCAUCUUUUGGACAGAUUGGAAUCCUUGGGUGUUUUUUUUUGUUUUGUGUUUCAAUCGUGGGUUUUCAGAUUCAGGGGGAAAGAAUGAAGCUUUUUAUACAAGAAGGAGAGAUAAGAAAAGAGAUGGUACAUAAAUUUCAGGUCCUAGUGAUGGAGAUGGUGAAUCUGGACAUCUCCAACCAGUGGCUAAUUUAAGGUUUUUCUAUUCUUGUUUUUGGUCCUCUUUUGUUCUGCAGAAAGAGGAAACCCGCAGAAUCUGCAAACCCAAAUCUUUUGGCUAUAAGCCUCUAAGAUCUCUGGUCCGACCACUUGGUAUUGCACCUUAGGAACCCCAAGUUUGUAAAUUUUGUGGUGGUGAAUUUAGGAUCAUAACAUAUCCAUUAUGCAUAUACAUGGGUUUUGCUCU